rnacentral:rRNA from 1 species
GGCUCAGGACGAACGCUGGCGGCGUGCCUAAUACAUGCAAGUCGAACGGUCUUUCUAUGGAAGCUUGCUUCCACUGAGAAGAUAGUGGCGGACGGGUGAGUAACACGUGGGUAACCUGCCCAUAAGAGGGGGAUAACAUCCGGAAACGGGUGCUAAUACCGCAUAGUUUUCUUGAUCGCAUGAUUGAGAAAGGAAAGACGGCCUUUGUGCUGUCGCUUAUGGAUGGACCCGCGGCGUAUUAGUUAGUUGGUGAGGUAACGGCUCACCAAGACGAUGAUACGUAGCCGACCUGAGAGGGUGAUCGGCCACAUUGGGACUGAGACACGGCCCAAACUCCUACGGGAGGCAGCAGUAGGGAAUCUUCCGCAAUGGACGAAAGUCUGACGGAGCAACGCCGCGUGAGUGAAAGAAGGUUUUCGGAUCGUAAAACUCUGUUGUCAGAGAAGAACAAGUCGGAGAGUAACUGCUCCGGCCUUGACGGUAUCUGACCAGAAAGCCACGGCUAACUACGUGCCAGCCGCCGC